rnacentral:rRNA from 1 species
AUUGAACGCUGGCGGCAGGCUUAACACAUGCAAGUCGAGCGGAGCGAGGGUGCUUGCACCUUAGCUUAGCGGCGGACGGGUGAGUAAUGCUUAGGAAUCUGCCUAUUAGUGGGGGACAACGUUCCGAAAGGGACGCUAAUACCGCAUACGUCCUACGGGAGAAAGCAGGGGAUCUUCGGACCUUGCGCUAAUAGAUGAGCCUAAGUCGGAUUAGCUAGUUGGUGGGGUAAAGGCCUACCAAGGCGACGAUCUGUAGCGGGUCUGAGAGGAUGAUCCGCCACACUGGGACUGAGACACGGCCCAGACUCCUACGGGAGGCAGCAGUGGGGAAUAUUGGACAAUGGGGGGAACCCUGAUCCAGCCAUGCCGCGUGUGUGAAGAAGGCCUUUUGGUUGUAAAGCACUUUAAGCGAGGAGGAGGCGCUCUAGGAUAAUACCCUAG